GCCACCUUUCUUGGAAAAACAUACCGGCCUUACUAAUUUGUAUAAUUAAAUAUGUAUGGGUGACAUCACAUGAUGUAAAUCACAAGGAGUGACAUAAGAGAAAAUUCUGUAAAAUCACCAAAAAACUACUUAGUUUGAUUCUGCUGUAUAGAUGGAUUCCUCCCAGUGCCCCCAUGUGUCGAUUACUCCAGGUCUCAGUGGUCCUAUGUAUCACAGUGUCUCAAUGCCCCAUGUCUCCCUGUGUCCCCAUGUAUCCCAGGGUCCCCAUGUCACUAGGACACUAGGAAGACGGGGAGACCUAGGGACACAGAGACACCAGUUACACUGGGAGACUAGGGGACUCUGGCUGGGACACAUGGGGACAAUGGGAAAAUAGGGGACACUUGAAGACAUGGGGACACAGACACUAGAGACACUGGCUGGAGGACAUGGGGACAUUGAGACAUGGAGGCACUGGGAGACAUGGGGACACUGAGACACCAGGG